rnacentral:rRNA from 1 species
UACGAAGGGGGCUAGCGUUGUUCGGAUUUACUGGGCGUAAAGCGCACGUAGGCGGAUCGAUCAGUCAGGGGUGAAAUCCCAGGGCUCAACCCUGGAACUGCCUUUGAUACUGUCGAUCUGGAGUAUGGAAGAGGUGAGUGGAAUUCCGAGUGUAGAGGUGAAAUUCGUAGAUAUUCGGAGGAACACCAGUGGCGAAGGCGGCUUACUGGUCCAUUACUGACGCUGAGGUGCGAAAGCGUGGGGAGCAAACAGG